rnacentral:rRNA from 1 species
GACGAACGCUGGCGGCGUGCUUAACACAUGCAAGUCGAACGGAAGGGCCCUGCUUUUGUGGGGUGCUCGAGUGGCGAACGGGUGAGUAACACGUGAGUAACCUGCCCUUGACUUUGGGAUAACUUCAGGAAACUGGGGCUAAUACCGGAUAGGAGCUCCUGCUGCAUGGUGGGGGUUGGAAAGUUUCGGCGGUUGAGGAUGGACUCGCGGCUUAUCAGCUUGUUGGUGGGGUAGUGGCUUACCAAGGCUUUGACGGGUAGCCGGCCUGAGAGGGUGACCGGCCACAUUGGGACUGAGAUACGGCCCAGACUCCUACGGGAGGCAGCAGUGGGGAAUAUUGCACAAUGGGCGGAAGCCUGAUGCAGCAACGCCGCGUGCGGGAUGACGGCCUUCGGGUUGUAAACCGCUUUCGCCUGUGACGAAGCGUGAGUGACGGUAGUGGGUAAAGAAGCACCGGCUAACUACGUG